rnacentral:rRNA from 1 species
AGAAUCAACGCUGGCGGCGUGCCUAACACAUGCAAGUCGAGCGAGAAAGGGGCUUCGGCCCUGAGUAAAGCGGCGCACGGGUGAGUAACACGUGGGUAAUCUGCCCUGUAGUGGGGGGAUAACCCGGCGAAAAGCCGGGCUAAUACCGCAUACGCUCUACGGAGGAAAGCGGGGGAUCGCAAGACCUCGCGCUAAAGGAUGAGCCUACGUCGGAUUAGCUAGUUGGUAGGGUAACGGCCUACCAAGGCGACGAUCCGUAGCUGGUCUGAGAGGACGAUCAGCCACACUGGGACUGAGACACGGCCCAGACUCCUACGGGAGGCAGCAGUGGGGAAUAUUGGACAAUGGGGGCAACCCUGAUCCAGCAAUGCCGCGUGUGUGAAGAAGGCCUGCGGGUUGUAAAGCACUUUCAGUGGGGAAGAAAAAUCGGAAUUAACACUUCCGAUCUUGACGUUACCAUAGAAGAAGCACCGGCUAACUCCGUGCCAGCAGCCGC